rnacentral:rRNA from 1 species
AUGGGUGCUUAUGAAAUUGAAUCUAUGUUUAAAGAGUUUGAAGAUUUUGAUGAUGCUGUUUAUAGACCUGAAAAUUUAGCUAUCCUUAAAUAUUGUUAUGAGAAUUAUGAAUACAAUUACGAAAUUAAUGCACUUAUUAAGAAAGUCUCUGCUGUCCAAGAAGAGACUAAUAUUUUGCAGGAAUCUAUGGAAGAAGAAGUUGAUGAAACUGUGAGCUCAUUGGAUGAAAAAGAUGAUGAGGAGAGUGAAGAACAAAAGGGGGAAGAGCGGAUUAGCUACCUGAGCCCACCUUCUAAUGAGAGUAACUCUUCAACUCAUACAUUGUUUAAUUUCCCUUCGUGCUUACCGAAGGAUGAUUGCUAUGAUGACUAUUAUGAUCCCGUUGAUUCUCUUUAA